CCGGUAGUGGAAGGCUGUUGCUAAUUCUGAUUUCUGUUGGCUCUCUUUCAUGCUAACCCAGUUUUUAAAAUUAUUGUUUUCACUUUACAACAUACGGAUUUCUAUGCCAAGCUGCGCAUACCUUUCAGAAAUAACUUAAGGCUGCAGUUUCAAGCAAACAGUGACAGCACUUAGCUGCCACAUAACUCAACAUAAAGUCCACAAAAAACUUCACGGUAGGACAGUGAAUCAUAAAUUUCCAAGACUUAUGUGUCUCUACAGAAUAAAUGAGACAGGUUUCCUCAGUAUGUAUUUUAGGAGCUUUUCAUUUUUAAACGUGACAAGUUCCACACACUCUGUCACAUUUAAAACUUGGACACUUGUUUAUUUAAUUAGGAGAGGGUGGGAAACUAACUUCCACCCUGCCUAGAUUCUUUAGAACACUCUUAGUGACAGGAGAAAGUUAAAAUUCUAUUCUUAAGGGCCUUGGGCUGACAACCAGUGUCACAUUCUCUGCCUAUUUGUACAUUUAUGUCAGCAGUUGCCACUGAUUUGUUGAUACUGUUUUUCUGGUAAAGGAUAAGUGUCUGCUAAUGUCAAAGCAAAUCUUGUGACAGAAGCACCAGCUUUAUAAGGCAGAGAGGAGAGGAUAUUGAUUACAAGUUGUUACGUGUUCCUUUUUAUUCUCAGGGGGGAAAAAAAUCACUAAAACUCAUCAUUCUCCAAAAAUAGUUUAAAACAUGCGCUUUAUCUUAGGAUAGGUUUGUAGAAAGUAGAAAGGUGAACAUUCCUAAGAAACUUCUGUUGCCCAUUUAAAAGACACACACACAUACUACACAUGUACAAUAAGUUUAUGAAGUUUAUAAUCACCCCCUCCCAGACUUCUAAAUAACUAAAUUAUUAUAUUGGUGAUACGUAAGUUGACCAGGAUAUUCUAGAGCCAUUAUAAAAGUACAAUUUCCACUUAAAUAAAUAAGUUUAAGAUUAUAUUGAAUUUUAGAGGGGAAGUUGGGGUUUGUAAUCAUGAAAAUCUUAUUGUAAUGUUUCCAAAAGGAACAAUAUGUAUUCUAGUGAGCAGCAUUUGAUGAGAUUGUUUCCUUGGAAAUUAGGAUUUGUUUUUAAAGGUUCAGGAACUGGUUAUGUGUGAAGGAUACUGGUCCUACAUACCGGUCUGAUUUCAGGAAGGAUAUUAUGUCAUUCCAUAAACUCUGUGUGCAUGUCUUGAUUGAAUAGAAACAAAAGUAAUUAUUUCCCUGUGGCUUGAUUUAAAAAUACACUAGGCUUAUAAUAAAAACCAGCUCCAUUUUAGUUUUAGAGAUUUCUGACAAUGGUGCUUUACCAGACGUCACCAUCAUUAUGGACAUAGGGGCUCAAUAAAUGUUUGGUGAUGAUUUGAUGAUUUGUAGUCUGCACUCUGAAUGUUCCUCAGCAUGCUUAUGAAGUGUAUUAUGUUAGAAACAUUGCAUACAAAUAGUUUGAAAUAUCUUUGUAAAUCUCCUUAAAUGAAUUUGCAGUGAUUGAUUUCAUUAAAAAUUAUAUUCUUUCUGGAAUGAAGAUUGUUUUUCCAUUGAGGACUUGAAGUUAUGAACACAUGCAUGAUCAUUGAAAAUGUAUUCUGUAUCUGUGUUUCAUUUUGCCUAAUUAGAAAAUUUGAGCAUACUCACUUUUUUUAAUACUGGGCAAUGGAAUGUUUGAAGCUAAUGAAUGCCUAAAAAUUAAGUGACAGUUAGGAUCAUAGGGAAGCAUGAAAGAAUUCCAACAAUCCAGUGGUUAGGAACUCAUUAUUUGUUAAUAAUGAGUUAAUAAUACAAUGCACGAUUGUGUCAUAAGACAUUGAGAAAGCAGAAGCAAAAUGAUUUUACUGGGUUUACCAUAUGAGUAGAUUGGUUUACUGUAAUAGAGAAUAACAGUGUAUCACGCACUGCUCAGAGCACUUUAUAUAUAUUCCAAUUUAUUUUAUCCUCAAAAAAUAAAUUCUUGUAGGUAAGUACUAUUAUUAUACCCAUUUUACAGGUGAGAAAACAGAAGUACAUAGAGUUCAAAUAACCUCUCCAAAGUUACAUAGUAGGAGCUGGUAUUUGAAUGUAUCUUAACUAGAGACCAUGCUCAAUAAUACUCCAAACCAUUUUUUAGUUUUUAUAAUGAGUGUUAAACUACUGAACCUAUGGUUGAUUUCUGGAUUAUAUAAUAUUUCAAUCUUUUCUACUCAGGGUACAGCAAUGAACCAUGUUACAGAAUCACUGUGAGAUUUCCAAUCAGGUCUUAUUUCUCUAGUGGAAGCAAACUGCUAUGUGUUUUACCUUCCUUGAGCAGUUAGUACCCAAUAGUACACAAUGUCAGGUUAUUAUACUAAUGGCCCAUAAUCAUUCAAUUAAAGUUUAUCAAGUGCAUAUUAAAUUAAUAACACCGAUAUUUUUUGUAACUCACAUACUGGUAUCUUGAAAUGACAGCCACAUCAUUAAGAUUGUUUACUCUGCUAUUGAUCUUUCAAGGAAGAUUUAGCAUUAUAUUAAUAUAAUUUGGGGAUCAACACUUACAGUCUUUCAUGGCUGUUGGGAACAGUGCAAACAAGAGUAAGUUGCUCCUCAGUGACCUCAUUACAGUGAGAUAAUCAUUGAAUGGCACAGACAUGAUUCAACAGCAGAUCCACUCAUGAGAGGGAAAAACAGGGAAGAGAAAUAAAGGAAUCUUUGAUGAUACAUAGGAUCAGAAUUAGUUGCUCAAACUCAGGAUGAAUCUAAACUUGCUUCUCAUAGGGUAUGCUCCAAAAAAUACGUGCAUCAUUUAUCUAGCCAUCUUCUUAGUUCUGGAGUUUUAAGUCCAGUGAAAAAGAGAAGUGAUGUUUAAAGUAGGGUGUUUUGCAGAGUGAAAGCUUAUCACACAAGUCAUACUGCCCAUGAUCCUUGCCCCACAAUCUUGCUGAAUCAAUGGGGAAAUUGUUAUAGGGAGAGAGAAUGAAAAUUGUAACGGUCCUUAUUUCCCUUACCGGCAGACUCUUGGAAUGGACAAGAGGGAGGAUACUGAGGAGGUGGAGGAAGAGUAUGUUAGGCCAUGGAAGGGGUGAAUUGGGAUCUUAUGUCAUUAGAUGGUUACGAUUUAUUGGCUACAUGUGCAUCAUGCUUAAAGUCUAUACACACACAUGUUACUCGGAAAAUCCAAAUUUAAGCAAGUGUAUAAAUGUGAUUACUUGCUUUGUGAAAGAAUUCAUCAUGCUUUUGAACUUAAAAAAAUAUUGUAAUGCUUUAAACAGCAUGAUAUGGACCAGACUGCAAUAAAGUCCAUUGAACUACAGAAAAAAAGAAGACAGGGAUGCAGGCUCUAUUUGGAAACUCUCUCAUUCUUUUACCAGGCAAGUUUCAGAACUUCACUGGGCCUUCAUUUCUUGAUGAGAAAAUGAGAUGGUAUGACUAUGGUUCCCAAGGUCUUUCUGUAGUUGAGUCAAUAACUCCUUGAACAAGAGUGUGUAACGCAGGGAAAUUUAAACCUAAAGUAACAGAAGCCCAAAAGGAAACAGAGCAGCUGUCUAACGUGGAAUAAAUCAAUGGCUUAUAAUUUUUCUACAUCUUGUCAAGGAAAUGGUAAGGUGGAAAUCAGAUUUUAGUUCUACUUCUGAUGCUAAUUAAUUGUGUGAUCUGAGGCAAGUCACAACUUCUCUGGGCAUUCUUUUCUUCUUCCAUAAAACAAAGAGUUUGGAUUAAAUAAAUGUGAAGCUCCCAUCCUCUCUAAAACUCUAGGAUUCUGUGAUCACAGGUUAUUACUUUAAGAGAAAGAUGAUUCUUAUUUACAUUUUCCUUACUAUGUCAUUCAACAUCUACCCAGACAUACUUCUUUGAUACCUGGUUAAUGCUCUCAUUAUCAAUUUAAUAGGAACGUUAGGAUGUCCUGUCUUGUGGACUAUUUAAAUGUCAGUACAACCUAUAUUUAUAAAGAAACCUGUAAAAAACCUUUCUUUAUCAGGAGUCCUGGACCGUAAAAUGGAGUUAUUGCAGUGCCUGGCCUAUUGCAAGGACCGUAGGGAUCCGAGAGUGUUAAUGUAGGUGGAUCCCCAAGCUCACAAAAGACCUCUUUUCUUGAUAGUAAAUGCAAAAUGUGGAAAUUUCACUACUAGGAGAAUUAGUGAAAAUUGAUCUUUGCACGUUCAUUGACUUUUUACCUGACACUAUUUUUAGAGAUAGCACUUGAGUUGAACUCAACUAGAGCGGAGUAAACUGCUUUUUUAUGUUUGCAGGGAAUGGAACUGGGCAUUAGUGAUGUAUUCUCUCUCAUUCCUCCAUCAAGUCAAAUGAUAUCUUGGGGAUUUGCCCAACCUAAGUGGUGGCAUUUCUCAUCCCUGGUGUAGGAGACCUCCACCAACUGGGUAGCAUCAGCCAAAGUCAAACAACCUUUUGUUCUUUUGGAAUUGCCCUUUCUCCAUGCUUAGCAUUCUCUUUCUCAGCUACUUUCAGAAAUGGAGGAUGAAUACACUGGCAGAAAGACAGAUGGAACACAGAAAACAGGGUAAGCAUGCAUCAGUCAUGUGUUGCUCAAGUUCUUUAAAAAAAAACACAAAACUGUCACAAAUUCACAUUUCAUGAAUCAGAGCCUCUUUCUAUUCAGUGCUGGUGACUGAAGGGCCUGUACACAAAGGAUACUGUUUAACCAGAAGUUACAGGAAAAUCUGUUAAGUCAACUAACUUUGAAUAACAUUUUAAAAAUCAUCACAUAGUAAAAAAUAUGAGCAGUCAAGAAAUAAGUACUAGAAAGAAAUUAGCAAAGAGCAAUAUGCUUAUACACAUAUAACACUUGAGAAUUGCAUAGCUGCACUUCACUGCUUUUAUUGGUUCUGAAUUUAUAAACACUCAUCCCAGACGCAGGCAAUUGCCAAAUCUGGAUUUUGUGACAUUAGCUUAAGUGAAUAGAGCUUCAUUUUUCUCGUAUCUUCCCCCCCGCACUAUAAUCAGUGCUUUAAUUCUUAGUAAAUUUGGGACACUGGUCAACUUUUAUAAAGCAGGAUUCCCCAUUUCCCUAACAACCUAAUCAUGGCCAAUUUAGAAGCACAAGUUAGAAAAAAAAUCACCACUAGUGGUCUGAGCAAUAUCAAUUGAUGGCCCAGACAAAUUUAGAAAGAGAGAAAAUGACAAGUGAGUUUUAGUAAACUUCCUAUAUAAAGGAAAAUAAAUGGAAAUUCAGUGGAAACAUAUCAGUAAGAGGGAUGUGCUCUGUCUCUACAUUUCAUUAGCUAUGAGAACGAGGUGCUGAGACUAAGGAAGAAGACAUAAGAAGACAGCCAUGCGUUUUGCACACCAGAUAUUUGAAUGAAAUGAGGAUCAUUUUCUAUCUCCUCGGGCAAUCUGAAUAUGAUUUUGGUGUGGGUAAAGACAUUAUGUAUUAAUUUACAUUCUACCUCAUUACCUAAAGGAUUUGAGGUCGUUUAGAGAAGAAGAUACAACGCAGUUAAAAAAAGAUAAAUCUGGUGAAAAGAAAAAUGUAGGUCAAUUAAUAAGACUAGGAAGAGAUAUUAUAUAAAAAUUUACAACGUAAGGCCCUGAAUAAUUACUAAAAGCAGGCUACAGAUUUAGCUUGAGCCUUCCUAAUCUAAGAAAAGAGGAAAACGUGAUCAGGGAAGGUUUGCCAUGUCCAUAAGGUAAAAACAUACCAGCACAACUUUCCCUGGGGCUUGAUAUUUGGGAGAAUUUUCUCCUAAGGACUUGAUAUACAAGAGCAGUUUCUCAUAAAAAAUCCCAUAAAGAGACUACAAGCCAUAGUCGAUGGUGCUUUUAAACAUUUCUAUAGUGAAAUCAAUAGCAAAUCUCUUAUAGCAUCCUGCAGUGGAAGUGGGAGCAUAACAACAAAUUAUAAUUCAGUAAAAAUAUUAGAGGAUGGGGUGGACGGAUCAAAACAAGGAGGUUCAGUAGGUAAUCCUCUGAUUCUCUGGCUUAAUCUAGAAAUAGCAUGGAAACUGUCUAGAGACAAUUUCUCUAUGUCUCAUUCUCAGAACUCUAGUUACAUGGAUGGUUGGAUGGAUGGAUAGAUAGAUAGGCAGGAGGAAAAUAUGUCUGUGGUUAAGUAAUUUGGGGAAAUACUGCAUCCUCCUUCCCUUCUUGGAAAUUCACAUUUAUGAAAGGCUCAGAGAAAUCCUGCAGAAAGUAAUUUAACUUUGUUUAAACUGACAUAUUUCCAUAUUUCAUCAUGAAACCAUUUUGUACUGGAUACCAGGAAGUGACAUCAUGUAAAAUCAAUGUUCCCUGGGGAACACAUUUUGGAAAGUCUGGUUUAGGAAAGUGGAGGGCUGGUGAUGCAUUCAGAUAAUUCUCUUUGAACAUAUUUCUUGAAUGAAUUGAUAAUUUGAGAUUGUAUCUUAUAGAGUAACAUUGCAAGUAUUCUGUUUUCAAAUAAGGCCAGCUCCAUAUACCUUAAAAAUCUACUGGGUUAAGGCAGGAUGGAUAUCUUUUAUGAAAAUUAACAACCAAAGGAAGAUCCUAACCUGAUUAAGUGCCCUCCGCACAAUUUGCCCAUCAGAAAACUGAAGGAGUAGGUAUAUGGGCAGAGUUAAUCAUUAUAAUAAAAAGAAUACAAACAAUCUUCAAGUAACCCUACAAGAUAGGUACUGCUGGGCCAGGAGAAAGAAAUGAUUACUUUUUAGCUCUGGAUCUACGAUAAAGCCAAAGUCCUAGUUGAGUUCCAAAGGGGUCAGAAGUUACAGCAGCUAAUUCAGAAUAUUCCAUUACUGCUGGAAAGUGGAGUCACAGCCCCACAGGAAAGAAACAGGAAACUAUAUAGGAGUCUCGAAUUCUCCCUGGCUGUAGGUAAUGGGAGAGGUGGACUCCUGUAAGCUCAAACUUUGAUGGGUGGCUCAGAGUCAGUUUCUGACUUGAAGGGCCAAACGUAUCCUUGGUUACAUAAAGUCUCCCUUGGAACGACAGAGUAAAGUGAACUGAUAGAUAAUAGGUCAUUUUUGUUAGUAAAAUCUGUUUGGUCUAGUUGUAUAAGCAACUUACCAAGUUUCCCAUGAAGACUACAAAUAUUCUUAAGGUAUUUUUCCUCCUGCUGGCAAAGAGAUAACAAAUUAGCAUUUGCAUUAUGACGGAUGCUUUUUGAGAGAAAUCCACAGAAUAUCAAAAAGCUGCAACAGAUUACGUGGAGAAUUAGCCAUACCGUGUAGCUCAGAUCCCCAUGUUGUAAAGUCACACAGGGCCAGAGCAAUCACUGUAGAAUGGUGCAGUCUAGGGCAAGGCAGACACACAGAUUACUAUGAAAAUGUAUACACUAUUGUUUGAAAAGACAUGAAUUCUCUUUUUUAGAGAAACUUAGGAUCAAAAGGAAUUUAAAUGGAAUGGUUGGAAAAUAACUUAAAAUUACAGAACAUGCUAAUGCUGUUAGAAAAAGGAAAUCAAUAGAAAAAAAUCCGAAAUGUCUGGCUAGACUCUCAAAUGACUUCCCUCACAAGCCAUAGGAAUCCUGGUAAUUUCAAAGGUCUGACAGAGGCAGAGCUGAUUAAAAUACCAGUGAUUUGCAUUGCCUUGUCUCUAACAUUCUGAUAAAACACUAGAGUGAAACAGUGUAGAGGAGAGAGAGGAGAUUGUAAAGGGACUCCGCAGUCACCAAGUAACUAAUUUACAUAUCAGUAUUUUGAGCUGAAGAAGGCAUUCUCUUCCUGCAUUCCAAGUCUCCUCUUACUGGUAAUUUUGAAAAUCAUGCAUAUGGAUGACAAGAACCUUGGAUUAGUAUUCAAUCUCUAUAAGUGAACAGUAGCAUUUCACAUGCAUUUGUAUUCACCAAAUGACAAACUGGAAAAAAAUACGAUAGUCAUAAAAUCAUAUUUUCCUCUGAAGGUUUUACUACCUCCAAAUUAUUUAUAAUAGUAAAAAUUACUGUAAGAAAUAAGAAGGAUUUACAAUUCCAAUGACAAUGAUAUUCCAACCAUUCUCACCUAAAUAAGACUAGAGUUCUUAGUAGAGGAAUUUAAAUCUCUCCGAAAUGCUUUGAAGGACACAAUACAUUUCCUGCUAAAUGCAUUUCUCAAAAUAGAGAAUGAAAUCCGUUGCAAGGUAUAACUUGGAGGACCAUGUGUUGUGUAUAAUAAUUUCUUAUUAAUCAAAUCGCCUUCACUACUACAUUGAUCUCUUUGGGUAGGAGAGUCUGCUACCACCCUUUCCCUGCACUUUCCUAUUUUCACUGUUAGUAUUCCAUUCUCUCUGCUGUGCUUUUAGGAGGAAGGUCUACGGCAGAUAAAGCUGCUUAGAUGUUUUUAUUACUGGCUUCCUAGAAGAAGGAGGGGAAAAAUCUUGGCCAGAAAGAAGGGAAAUCAGUCUUGCAGGAUAUCUUGAAGAAGACCGCAAAAGAAUUUCAGGGACUGAGUUUAUCAUCUGUUGGUCCCAAUACUGAGUGUGAUGUAAUUCCACAUUUGAAUUCUUAUGUAUUAUCAAUGGCCAGGGCAGCCAAUCCAUUGGAAUUGCUUGGAACAGUCAUGAAAUGGUAGCACAAAGCAUUAGAGAGAUGGACAUUUGUUUCUUGCCUUCUUCUAGGACAAUCUUCCAGGAGUUAUUCUGUUGAUGGGAUGAUGAAAUCUGUAUUCUUUGGGGCAAGUAAUUGAAAUAUGUUGGUUGAAUUUCAAGAAACACUUUCUGCUCUUGAUUGUGGGAUCAAGAAUGUCCUAGGGACACUGUUCAUUUAACCUAAACUUUAAAUUUUCUACACCUACUACUGAAACAAUUGGAGGCCUUUGGAGUCAUGCAGCUUGAGUUUAAAAUUCAGCUCUGUAUCUCCCUAGCAGAGUGACCUUGGCCAAGUUACUUAACAUUUCUAAGCUUCAGUUCUUCUGUGGGCAAAAAGGAGCUAGUAAUAGCCACUAUCUCAUAGUUAUUGCAAUAAGUGAGAGAAUACAAUUAAACAGAACACGGUGCCUGGCACAUACUAAGUGCUCAAUAUAAGAAAAUAUAUCAAUAUUUAUAUUAAACAAACAUCCAUGUACAUAGGGCCCUUCAAGGUAUUGUAUCAGCAAACAAAGAGUAAAUUAUGUACUAUAUACCAAGUUUACUAAGGCAGGUAUACCUCUCGCCACAUUUUUUGUGUCCUCAAAAAGUAUCCACCACAAAACCUGAAACAAAAGGUGGGGUUUUUUGUUGUUGCUGUUGUUCUUUUGCUUUUUAUCUUAAACUGUAAUGAAAACCAUUGUCGUUCCCAAGUGUGGUUUCCUGGGCACAGCAGUUAUUCUUAGUUGCUCUGAACUGACCUAAAGUGAUGGGUUUAGGCCCCAUUUCAACUCAUAAAGAUAAAUAGCAAAGUCUGUUGAUCCCCACCUUCUGCCAAUAAAAGAGGCAGGAAAUGUUCCCAGCUCUGGGAGUGACUUGCUGGUAAACUAAAGCUGAGAGAGGGCAGCAGUGCUGGAGGAAAGGGGGCUGUGCUCUCAGUAGGCUGGAGUGAAAGGCCAGGGAGGCUAUCAGUGUGUGAGGGUGGGAGCAAGGCCCUAGACCAGCCUCAUUAGCCAGUAAUAGAGGGUUAUGUCUAUAUAUCUGAUGGUUUUUAUCUAUAAUGUCUGAGUUCCCCUCUCGACAUGUUGUGAUUUUUCUAAACUGAGAACUUAACUUUGAGACUUUUCUUAAUUUUGUAGAAACUUUCCAGUAUUACAGUGGUCUUUGCUUAGAGGAAUUCAUAGAAAAGAAAUGCUGUAAAAUGUCAAUAAACUUUCAAAUGAUCAGUUGGCAAUUUAAAAACUAAGCACUCUGUUUCUCGAACUAAUUCAAGCAAAUUAUUUAAGAAGCUUUCAUUGCCCAUUUCUUCUAAGGAUUUCAUUCCUUUUCAUUCAGGAAUAUUCUUCAUAUUGUUGAAUUCCUCCGCUGUGAAAGACUGCAUAUGGAUAUGAAAUUAACAUUUGUUGAAAUUUGUCCUUCAAGUUGAAUGGACUAAAUCAACGUGGAUUCUUUUGCUUCAUUUAUUUAUGGAAUAUAUGUAGUCUUAGGUCCUCCUCCAUUUUUGUGCCCCCCAGCCAACAAAGAGUAGAAACAUUAGUUAGUCCAGUCUUUUUAUAUCAUGACAUAAAUGUUAAUCUCGAACUUAGUAAAAGCCUUGUUUUAUAAGAUAAAAUAUUUGAUGUUUGCGUAUGGCAUCCUGGAAACCCUGAAAAGCUAUUAUAACAGUAAUGCCUUCACUGGUAGCAUGUGUGACAUUUUGUGGAGCCACUCCAUAUGGAUUAUCUUUUUGAAUAUGAGUGUAAGAUAGUACUGAUCAUCUUGGAUUAGGAAGCUGUGUUCCCUAGAAUCUUUCAGAGAUCUGACAAAUGCAUAUGCAAGCUUUCCUACUUUGAGACGUUUCUAGUCUCCGUUCCCUAAGUUGUUCCUUUGGAAGUGGAUUUUCACUUGGUUUUGCUGUAUGGAAAAGUACAUUUCCCUGAGUAGACUCUAUAGAUAAGUAUAGGCUCACUUGAUCGAAUAAGGAAACUUGGCAGUGAGCAAUACGGUUGUCAAACAUUAACUAACUGGUAGAGUAGAGAUGGUUUCAGAGUCCAACUUUUUCCUUUCCCCCUUCCACGUAGAGUAAAAUUAAUUCCUCACCUCCAGCUUUACAAUUCAGUUUCUGACAGAGCCAUUCUAUUUCUGUUUCACGUGAGGCUUCUCCUCUCACUUUUGUGUCCAUCUCCCAUCGUUGGUCACUUUAGCAGAACUGGCCCUGGACACUGUAGCUUCUGUUCUGUGAAGCCUGGUGCUUUGUUCUGUAAGGCAGGAAUGACGUGGAAUUGAGACAGGUUCUUUUCAGCUCUUAACUGUCAGUCGUGCUUCCUCCUGGCUGCUGGAGUCUAUGCAGCUGUGUCCAGAGGUGAAGGCAAGCCAUACCUCCUGGGCUGGGGCAGAACUUUUCCACUGGGUCACCGAAGUGAAAAGAAGAGUGUAAGUUGGGGUUUGUCGUGGAGAGGCAAAAUAAUGUAUCAAAAUUUCUGUGCCUUUGGGUCAAAUACUUGGGUCUGGGGAUUGAUGAUUUGACUUUUUAUAAAUUUUAUGCCACAAAUUUUAGCUCUUGAAAAGUUUACAAGAUUUUUAAAACACUGACAGCAUACUUAUACCUGCUCUUAUUGAGGGUUCCCUAUUAUGUACCAGGGACUGUUUUCGGCACUGCAUUUAUUGCUAUUUUAUUUAAUUUUCAUGAAGACUCGAGAGUUAAAUUUACUCAUCUGGAAAAUAAACAUAGUAAGGCCUAACACUCAAGGCCUUAUGAUGUUCAUUUUUCAGAUGAGUAAAUGAAGACUCGGAAUGCUAAAUAACUUUCCCAAAGUCCCCCAGCAAGUAGGUGGCAGAGCUGGACUCUGAACUCAAGUCUGGUUCAGAAGCCUAUGUCAGCUUACCACUGACAACACCAGCACCCUCAUAAUUAUGUACAUGUCUACCUUGAAUCCAAGCAAGGUGUUCUGUUUUUUUCAUCACUUUGGACCUUCUCAGUCCUCCCUCUUCUCCCCCAGCAGUCCCUCAAGUUGUUGGAGGACUUCACCUCCAAAACCAGCAGCAAUUCGUCGUGAUCAUCCUAUAUACUAACUACUCUCCCACUCCUCUCUUGAGGGUUGGCUGCUCUUCAUCAAGGGCGCUCUGUCCAAAGUAAACAACACGGCAGCAGCAUUUGGCCUUUGGUAAGGAGUCUAGCAAGGUUAGGUAGGAAUAAGCAUAACAGAGGGAAAGAACAAAUUCCUCCACCCCCAACCCCCUUUCCCUACUUCCGGACCCUGCAAAAUGCUGCCCUUCUUCCUAGAAGGUGCUGGGGGUCAAUGUCCAUACUCCCCCAGGUUUCCCCAGGGCUCUUAGGGCCCCGGAGCUCAGAGGCUCAUGUGAUCUUCACCGUGGGCCUUUGCAAGUGAGAAUCGAGAUGGGAAUUAGGUCAGACCUGUGGUGUUCUCUGGACUCUGGAUCUUGAACUCAUCAGUUCUAUAGUGGAAGGAAAGCAUGUGUUAAGCCAGGGUCUCCAUUUGCGGAGAGAAGCCCCGGAUGGAGCUUUCUUUUCCAGAUUUUGCAGUUUUGACCUCAGUCACGGCUGAGGCCUGCAGACCAGAAUAGUCACAGUUGUGCUCUGCCCUUGUACUGCACUUGUAGCUGGAGAACAGUAGUCAGUCAGAAGAAAAUAUCAAUGUUCUGCCAACUUCUGCUGUUUGUGCAAUUUUGCCAGAAGCCAAAACAGGAUCGAAAAUAAUAAACAGACCUCCUCCCUUGUUGCAUGACUAUUUACAUAAAGAGAUUGAUGAACUGACUGUGCUUGUGUGAGUGCUCAGGGAAGGGAGUUUUUAAGGAGAAAAGGUUAAUUCUUUGGUAGUUGAUUGGGAUUUGAGCUUUUCCCAAAUAAUUGGGUUUUUAAAGAGAUAACUCAUAGUAUAUAUAGUGCUGCUUCUUCAAUAUAAACAGCCUAAAUCAUGGAUAAAACAACCGGACACAUGAAUUACAUACAGCUGUAAAAUUUUGCAGGGAAAGUGAAUCUUGAAAACAAAGGGCCAGCGUGAGUCUUAAGUAGAAUAGUGAUGUUUCCAGUGGAAAGAGGAACCAAGCUUGGGGGACUGGAAGGCAGGAGGCCUGGUUCUAGGACACCUUUGCGUCCUGGGUGAUCCUGAGGUCACCAUCGAGGUGACCGUGUACCCUGGUGACCAUGCAUGCUUUUAUUUAAUCUCUCAGUGCCUCAGUUUCUUCAUCUAUCAAAUGGGAAUAAUACCAGCUCCUGCUAUUCAGUGAUAUUAUCAAAAGAAAAAAGAAUCGAUGUGAAAUUAAUCCAGAUAGAAGGCGUCAUCCUCAGUUCUGUCGUGGCUAAGUGAUGUCAGGGUACCUGUUAGGGACCUCUGGGCCUGAACACAGGAGCCAUACAAAGCAAGCCCCAGCUCUUUAGUUCUCAAUUGGACACGAAACAUCACCACACUUGCUUCUCUUCCUUGAAUAAUAAUUUAUAUCACCCCUCAUGGAUAUGGGAAUAAUGUGCCACUCUGUGGUCUUGUUUUGUUUUUAGUUGGUUCCCACAUAGACAAAGUAUUCUAAUUCUUACCUUUAUUUUGUAUUUUCUUUUUAUGUAUUUGAUAUGCUAUGAGGGAAUCUAUGUAAUUAAUAAGGCUCAUUUUAAACUCCACUUUUCCCUCUUAUUUUUCUGCUAUUCUGAGGUGUCGAGAAUUUUACUUUGUAUUUUUUACUGAGCUAAUGAAUUUUGUUUCACCCUUAAUGAAUAAUUUCCCAUAAUCAUGAGCAGAAUAAAAUAUUUUGAAGUGAAAGAUACUGUGUGAUAGACUUGGGGACUUUGACAAAUCGAAGCGUCAUAGAUCAUAUGCUUUCUUUGAGUUAAGAAUCUCCAGUAUAAAUCAGGCUUCCUGCCAAGGCCAGUAGGCAGUGUGGACUGUCCUCUAGGCAGGAUAGCCUGGUGUGGCUGUUGAGCUGGAGGCCUGCAAGAGCUUACUGUGAUCAUGGCGAACUGCCUGAGUCUGAGGGGCCUGAAGGAACCUGAUGUCACCUGCCCAGAUUAUCUGAUGAAGAAAGGACGUGCCCAGUGCUUUCGUGGGGCCUUGCCCAGCACAGCCUGGUCUGCAAAGCCUCAGGAAAGAAAGGUGAAAGGUGAAAGAACACACACUUUACAAACAUAUCCCUUUAAGAUGUUCGGGUUUUGUUCCAUAGUGUUUUUUUUUUUUAAAGCAAUCCUUCCUCCCUUCCUUCCUUCCCCCCUCCCUCCCUCCCUCCCUCCCUCCCUCCUUCCCUUCCUUUCUUGGCUGUGUUGGGUCUUCGUUGCUGCACACGGGCUUUCUCUAGUUGCAGCGAGCGGGGGCUACUCUUCAUUGCGGUGCACGGGCUUCUCAUUGUCGUGGCUUCUCUUGUUGCAGAGCACGGGCUCUAGGUGCUGCGGGCUUCAGUAGUUGUGGCACAUGGGCUCAGUAGUUGUGGCUCACAGGCUCUAGAGCACAGGCUCAGUAGGUGUGGUGCACGGGCUUAGUUGCUCCACAGCAUGUGGGAUCUUCCCGGACCAGGGCUCGAACCCAUGUCCCCUGCAUUGGCAGGCAGAUUCUUAACCACUGUGCCACCAGGGGAGUACCUGUUCUGUAGUUUUGAUAUCAGGUUUUUGUCUGUUUUGUUCUCAAUGUUUGAGUGUGCUGAUGAUGUUACAUUUCAGGAGGAAGGGCAAUUACUAAGCUGAGACUGGUGUGAAAAUCUUUUUGUUGAGCACUCUGUACGUGUGGUUAUUACUUGAAAAGGCUGGGUGUCUUGAGUGCAGUGGCAUUUGAGGGGGAACUUUAUGAAUGAAGAGGAAGGAGCUUGUUUGAUGGAGAAUAAUCCAAGCGUGUGAAGGCUUCCCAAAACCUUUACUCCAGCAAACCUGACCUGUAAGACGUUAUUGACUUCUUUCUUGCAUAUGAGGGUGAGACUAACAUCUCUCCACCCCCACCCAGAUUCGUGAUGCUCUGAGUUUCUCUGCAGCCUGUGGCUUAGCAGAACACGUUUCUUGUUUAUAGCUGUCUCUGCUCAUUGAUUAGCCAUUUUAAUGAAUUAUAAUGUUUUGUGAUUGUUGUUAAUAACUUGACAUGGGACUUAGGAAGUCUUCAGAGCCUUGAUUUAUGAGAGAAAGACUCUCUCAGACAUCUUUCCUUUGGCUCUGGGAGGCUGUGCACUUUCUAAAACUUGUAGUUUGCAGAUGCAAUGUACAUUGAAUGAAAACAUGUGCUUUGGUGUUCUCUGGACCUGGGUUCAAAUCCUAAUUCCAGCGUGGAUUGGCUAUGUGAUCUUGAGCAAGUUCUAUGAACUUUGUAAGCCUGUUUCCUCAUUUAAAGUGGGAAGAAAAAUAAUAACGUCCACGGCCUGGAAUGAAGUGUUGUCACACAUGCAAAGUACUUAUUGCAGAACCAAGCACUUACUCAGGGCUCAAUAUACAUUCAUCUGAAAAGGAGACAGAAAGGACACAAAUAACCAGCGACAUCGUCCAUUACACUGUGGACUAACUCCUUGUGGAGAAGAUAAAAAAAUACCCAACUUUGGAUAAAUAAUAAAGUGGAAGCUAAGGAAGGGCCCAAUUGUAGUGGGUCUGAAAUUAGAAUGUGUCAAGUUUCCUCAGAGAAGAAAAUGUAUAACUACUGCAGCUAGGAAACUGUGCAAUUUUAAACAAGGAUUUUCCUAAUCAAAUGGAAUUUACCUCUGAAAGCAGAUAACUGUCAAACUCUGAGUAUAAUAGAAAGUAUUUUUAGUCCUUAAAAAUUACUCUCUAGCCUUAAAAGUUACUCAUUAGACUACCCCAUAAGUCCAGAAUAUGAACCUUAACUCUGGUAUGAAGUUGAUGAAAACAUACCUAACUCUUAAUAUUUCAAGUCUAACUUCCCCAAAUGAAGCACAUCUGCCUUAGCAGUGCAGUCAGUUGGGACCUAAUCACACAUCCUCUGAACUAUUCUCAUAAGAUGUGAGAUAAGCCCAGAGGAAGUACGUUAUUCUGCCUUCACCCCACCCUCAAGUGUGCAGCCUGCUCUAAAGCCUAGAAGCAAAGAGACAGCACAAGGAGCAGGAAAAGAUAUCUUCAAAGCCUAGAAUCCCCUUGGCUUCUUUUCAAAGACAGUCUUUUAAGUCUUCUGUUUUGACUAAGUUCUGAUAAACUCGAAGCAUUGAAUCUUAACUUUGCUGUAACCCACUCAGCUUACAGAAAAUGAAGUGCAUUCAUUCAUUGUCUUUCCAUUUUUGCAUGAAGGGACACAGUCAUUCAUUCACUCACUCACUCACAAAGUCACUUCUGGAAUACCUACGCUGUGCCAAGUGCAGGUGUUGGGAUAUAACAACACAUUAAAACAAAAUCCACACCACUGUUUAAUGGGGGCUUUAAACUCGUGCCACAGAGUGUUAAAGGUGCGGGGAUGGCAUCCGUGCAGCGGGAGUGGAGGCACAAUGGCCAGAGUCUUUAGCUUUAGCUGUUAUUUUGUUGUUGUUCUCAUGUUUUCGUGUUUCAUUGCUUCAGCUUCCAAUCUUUUAGCAGAAGGCAUCCAUGCCUGGUAUUACUGGGGGUGAUUCUUACUAACUGUUGGGGAAUCCUGGAGUUAAGACUUCAUCCAUUUUUGCUGCAUCAUUUCACCAUGUGUCUUCCUUAGAAUCUGAAUAACUCAUAUCCCAUCAUCCAAGAGCAUGGAAUGCUCUCCCUCUGGCGAAAAGUGCAUUGCUGAUCUCCUCUGUUCUCAAAAAGUCAGGGCACAUCAUUUACAGAGAGCUUACCUCUCUGCUAACACUGCUACACUAGCAUUUGUGCUCCCCCUGUAAGGAUUAGAAUGGUGGUGAAUUUCUCAUGAAAUCAACUUUAGUAACAUAGCAAUAAUUAACACAAAUAUUUAAGAAAGGCUACAUUUUAGGAAUGAAUAUCACUUCUUCUGCAUCAGUUACACUAGUGGAGAACCUAACCUAGUCAGUAUUUCAACAAAUAAUUGUUCAAAGCCGAUUGCAAGAUCUUUGCUGCUAUUGAGCAUGAUGGAAAAUUAUAUAAAACAUGAUCACUGCCCUCAAGGAGAUUACAAUUAAGUGAGAUAAGACAUAUAAACUAUCAUUAAUACCAACAGUUCAAGAGAGUGCAUGGUUCGAUGACUAAUGGAUUAUCAAAACAUAGGUAUUCAUAAGAGUGCGUUGUCAGCAGGGCAGUAAGUUAAGGAAAAAAGGUUCUUGGGCCUGAGCUAUGGAAAGUGGCUGUGCUUCCACUGGGCAAAAGUCAGAGGAACUUAUUCUAAGUAGGACAACAAAAUGAAUUGAAAAGUAUAAUUUAGGUAAUUAAGAAUGUAGUCCAUCCUACCAUAUAGCACAGGGAACUAUAUUCAAUAUCUUGUAAUAAACCAUAAAGUAAAAGAAUAUGAAAAAAUAUAUAUAUAUGUAUAACUAAAUCACUUUGCUGCACACCAGAAGCGGCACACAACAUUGUAAAUCAGCUAUAUUUUAAUUUAAAAAAAAAGUACUCUAAAUCUGGUGUAGGAAGUGAGAUGAUAAGGUUGAAAAAGGAGUCUGAGGCCAGACUGCAGUGAAUUUGAAAAUUUUUUGGUAGGUAAUGGGGAGCUACUGAGGGAAUUUGAGUAGAGGAGUAAUUGGUUGAACAGUAGUUUAAAAAGAUGAAUAAGUGAAUAUGGGUUUGAAGUGGUCAGAAUGAAAGUAGAGAGAGAGUAAUAAUCAAGGAACAUGUGUUUUGUCCAGGCCCUGUCUAAACAUGAUAAAUGACUGUCUCAUUUAAUCCUCAUUAUAGAAGGUACUGUUGGUGUUCCCAUUUUAAAAGCUAAAAAAUUGAGGCCUAGAGAGAUUAAAGUUACUUGUUCAAGUUAAACCCAAAUAACUAGCAGGACUUGAACCCAGGGCUAUCUGACUCUAUCUUCUUCCACAGCUCAAGGGUUCCCCUUAUAGUUUAGUUUUUGUUGUUACAGUGACUACCCAGAAAAAUAUCCCAAGUGACGGGGAUUUUAACUGUGGCAAUAAAGAAAUGGUAAACCUAGGAUUUAGCUCCAUAACUUUUCAGAAUGGUAAAAUAUUUAUAUUCUUUUAAAACUUUAAUGUUCCCAAUUACUAAUUUAUCUCUUCAUUCAUUUGAAUUUAUUACUGUACCUUCUACUAGAGAUUUUCAUUCUAUUUGGAGACACCUACCUGGUGAUUGUAUUAUUAGUAAUUCUUGCUCAGUAAAUUCUGGGUCAACUUACGACAGAACCCUCCCUGGAUUUUAAUUAAAUUACUUGAUGGAACUAUACAUGUUUUCUUUCUGCUUUAGCCGUGAUCCCUUUAAAAAUUUAUCGGUAAGGAAUAAAUAAAUACUAAUAUAAAAUGAAUUUAAUAUGUGUAGUAAGGAGAUUUAAAUUUUAAACCUCUAGACAUUACAAAUUGGCUUGGUGAUUUCAUUUUUCAAAGAAAGGCUUUUCUAAGAGUAUUAUGUACCUAAAUACAAAUAAAAUUUAGUUCCUGAUUCUGGAAAUGUGAAUAAACCAAAACACUAGUCAUAUUGGGCCAAUUGGCUGAACUAGUUUGAAACCAGAAGAUUAAUUUGUAGAGAAACCCAAUAAACAAGUGUCUCUAUAAGACAUGGGAUCUUGUUGUUUAUACCAAAUUCUUAAGCAACCAGUCAUUAUUUUAUCAAAAAAGAGGAUUUCAAAUAUGAACUGUUCCAGAAGUAAUUUAAAGAUGUUUAAAUAUUUUAUGAAGUAUGAAAUCACACAUACUUGCCUCAGGCAGACUCCCCACUGGUAUUGAAUAAAAAAUACUCAUAUAGUUUUUUUUAUAAGAGCUAUUAAUAUAAAGUUUUACUUCUCUGCCUGAAUUGUAGUUCAUAUUCUGAAUCUAGCCGCAGGUUAAAUCCCAGUUAAAUGAGGUGCCUACAGAGCCCCCAGGGGACAGAGUUUGUAUGCUUACUCGGAUAAAGUGCAAAUGAUACUGAAUUUUCUACUGUGCUCUAAAGCACACAUUCUAUUUUCUCAACACACCCUAGUCUCUUGACUCCUAUUUAGAAAACAACUUAUUACUGUUUCCCUCAAGUCCAGUGUACUUUUAUCUUUCUUUAUCAAGAUUGCUAUCUCUACACAUAAGAUGGGCAAAGGUCAUGGUGAGUCAGGCAAAGUCUCUCUUCUUAGAAGGUCAUGGCCACACUUAUUCCCAUGACCUCUCCCAAGAAGCAAAAACUAGAGGUCACUGCCCAAACUCUGGGUCAGUGCCAGCUUAUUCUCUAGGACAGGAUGUUCCUGACCCAAUAACCAGGUCCCGAAGAUUCAUGGCUUCCCAAGGGAGCAUCCUUCUUUCAAGGUUCACACAUAGUGUUCUUGUCUGAUAGUUAUAUGUAAAUCUAGUUCUCCCUUUCUUGCUGAUCAAGCUGCUCUGUACAUGGGUAGCAUGAGAGAAAUCAUAACCUCUGCAACUUCUAUGUAUCAAGAUAGACUUCUAGAUAGCACUGGCAAUAUGUCUGACCUUAAGCUCUUCACCAUGCCCAAUGGCAGACUCAUUCUCUGACUGUUUCUGAUGUAAGCCCCAGCUGAGCUAAUCCUACAAGACCCAAGUUCCCCAGUGAAUACAUUCAUUGAGCAGCAGUGGUUGAACUUGGAGAAGUAUAAUACUGUUGCUGUGUAACAAACCACCCCAAACUUAGUGGCAUUAAAUAACCAUUAUUAUGCUCAUGGGUUCUGUGGGUCAGGAAUUUGGAAAAGAUACAGUAGAAAUGGCUUGUCUCUGCUCCAUGAUGAUUGUGACUUUAGCUGGAAUAACUUGAAGGCUGGGGAUGACUCAAUGACUGGGCCCUGGAAUCAUCCAAAGCCUCAUUCACUCCCAGGACUGGCUGCCUGACAUGUGGGGCCUCAGCAGAGGCUGCCAGCUGCUCUCUGUUUGGCGGCUUGGGCUUCCUCACAGCAUGGAGACUGCCUUGCAAGGGUGAGCAAGGCAAAAGUGCAUGCCUUUUCAUGAUACCCUUGGAGGUGGUAUAGGGUCUCUUUUGCUGUUUCUGUUGGUCAGCAUACUCAUAAAGAUCUGCCCAGGUUCAAGGGAAGGGGGCAUUGACGCACUACACGAUGGGAGGAGGGCCAAAGAAUUCACAGAUAUAUUUUGUAACUCCAGUAAGAUGUUUCACAUUGGAUAAUUCUGGGUUUCUGCCAUUCUUGCUGGCAUGUGCCUGGCCUUUGACUGAUUGAUUCAUCUGAAUUGUACAACUGGAAGAAGCACUACAACUAGAGUCAUCAUGCAGUGUGCUUUUGCCCACAGGUGUGCAGAAAGUGCCUCGGUGACAUUCCUGUGUACACUGCAUUGCACUAAUCCUUUGGUUGUGAUUGUAUGAGUAGUUAGAGGCAUUGUUCUGUACAUACAUUAACUUGUUCAAGCCCUAUAACCCUGUGCAAAGGAGAAUAUGCUUCCACCCAUACUCCUUGCCCAGAAUUAGAACAAAAUCCAGAAUCUCCAAGGUUUAGGGCUAGGGAAGAGUCUCCAGGUGAAGUCAAACAGUUCUCAAUUUUAUCCCAAACCCUGUUUUCCAUGGACAGAACUCUGAGUUCUCUCACUUUACUCACAGCUCCUUUUUUUUUUUUUUUUUUUUUUAUUGCUACCUUGAGUCCUUAGGGAUAGAAUUUAAGUUUCUGGGCGCUAUUUUAUUAAGAAAUUAAAGAAGGACUUCCCUGGUGGCACAGUGGUUAAGAAUCUGCCUGCCAAUGCAGGGGACAUGGGUUCGAUCCCUGGUCCAGGAAGAUCCCACAUGCCGUGAAGCAACUAAGCCCGUGUGCCACAAGUACUGAGACUGUGCUCUAGAGCCUGUGCUCUGCAACAAGAGAAGCCACUGCGAUGAGAAGCCCGCGCACCACCACAAAGAGUAGCCCCCGCUCACCGCAACUAGAGAAAGCCCGCGUGCAGCAACGAAGACCCAACGCAGCCAAAAAAAAAAAAAAAAAGAUAGU